UUUUACUCCUACGGGAGGCAGCAGUGGGGAAUAUUGCACAAUGGGCGAAAGCCUGAUGCAGCGACGCCGCGUGAGGGAUGACGGCCUUCGGGUUGUAAACCUCUUUCAGCAGGGAAGAAGCGCAAGUGACGGUACCUGCAGAAGAAGCACCGGCUAACUACGUGCCAGCAGCCGCGGUAAUACGUAGGGUGCGAGCGUUGUCCGGAAUUAUUGGGCGUAAAGAGCUUGUAGGUGGUUUGUCGCGUCUGCUGUGAAAAUCCGAGGCUCAACCUCGGACUUGCAGUGGGUACGGGCAGACUAGAGUGUGGUAGGGGAGACUGGAAUUCCUGGUGUAGCGGUGGAAUGCGCAGAUAUCAGGAGGAACACCGAUGGCGAAGGCAGGUCUCUGGGCCAUUACUGACACUGAGAAGCGAAAGCAUGGGGAGCGAACAGGAUUAGAUACCCUGGUAGUCCAUGCCGUAAACGUUGGGAACUAGGUGUGGGUCUCAUUCCACGAGAUCCGUGCCGCAGCUAACGCAUUAAGUUCCCCGCCUGGGGAGUACGGCCGCAAGGCUAAAACUCAAAGGAAUUGACGGGGGCCCGCACAAGCGGCGGAGCAUGCGGAUUAAUUCGAUGCAACGCGAAGAACCUUACCAAGGCUUGACAUACACCGGAAUCACUCAGAGAAUGGGGCUGUUUG
rnacentral:rRNA from 1 species